rnacentral:lncRNA from 1 species
CACAAUUGAUAAGCGAAAUAAACUGAAAUAUUUUCAGGAGUUAAAACUUUUUGAAAAAAAAAAGAAGAAUUACCCUGAAAGCAGGCUGAUAGUCAGCUGGAGCUCCACCUUUUUCACCACCAAACUCACCAGGCGGACCUCUUGGGCCAGCACGAUACCCUUCCCUGUCCCCGAACCUUGGCCUAUCACCCUCGAACCUUGGUGGUCCACUGCACAUAUCCAAUGAAUAGCACACACAGAGUUAAUUUUUAGACAAAUACACACCAAAAAUCGCAAACUUAAACAACUGAGAGAAAAUGAAAAGGUAAAUUACCGGGGACGAUCGCCAGGAGGUCCACCCAUGGGACGACCAAGAGGCUUAGCAGAUUUUUUCAAAGUAGCGGGCACAAUUUCAGAUGGAAGGUUAAGGUAAGUCCUGAGGAACUCAAUACC